UUCCUUCCAUACCCUACUUUCCCUUUCGCCGCUCCUCCCCUUUCACCGCGCUGUUGCUCCUCCUCCGCCCACCGUUGCUCACGCGUCGCCGCUCCUCCUUUGCCUCCUGUUGCUCACACGCCGCCGCUCCUCCCCUUUCGCCUUGCGCAGUCCCGACGUUGCCGCCAUGUGUUCCCACCGCCGCCGUAGCCGUUUUCUGGUGCCCCCAGUGAUUUUGCAACCGUCUUCCUCUCAGUCACGAACAGAGCUCGCUGGCUGCCGCAUCGUUCCCUUCGACGGUAUCCAUCGCCCCAUCUCCUCUUUCGCAGCCGUUUCUACUAGUGGAGAAUAAGUUUAUUUAAAUUGAUUUUUUAACUAUUAUUUAUUUAGCUUACCUAAUUUAUUUAAAUCUUAAUUCAGGUUCCGAAUUAGAGAAUUUGGUAAUUUACUGAAGACAUUUGACCUUCCAUCUUUACAUUUUGAUUUUGUCAUAGUACACCCCUUUAAUCCCAUGACUUCUUCCUUGAUAUUAGUAGUUUCGGACAAUAGGACUAUGGUGGAGCUCUAGAGAGUAUUCGUACUUUAUGAUCAGUUGCAGAUUCACAAUACCUUCUUAUUGAUUAUGGUGGAACUCCAGAGAGCAUUUUUACUUUAUGAUCAGAUAAUGAUCUUUCUUAUCUAUUGGAAGAGAUGACCAAAAAAACAGGUGUCACUAAGGAUAAUGCUUAGUCCAUCAAAAAUUAAAAGGAAAAUAAGAUAGAACUAUUUGUUAUUAAUUUGAAAGGGCCUCCAAAGAAGCAAGUGAUACAAAAUUUUCUACAAGUAGCAUUGUCAAUAUGUUGGUAUUUUCAUAUGUUUUGUUUACUCUAGAAUUACAUUAAAAUUUCUUAAAUACUAAGGCAAUUUUUAUAGAAGACAUUAUGGGAGGAAUAAUCUCAAUAUUGAAGUUGAGAAAUAUGAGUGGUCAAAGACUAAUGUUGUCAUGUUUGUUUGUUGAGAUCAUUUACCAAAAAGUGAAGCAAAAUAAGUUACAAACAUCUACCUUUAGUAAUAUGGUUUCGGAGAAGAUUAAUAAAGAAUUAUAUCUGGCUAUGGAGACGAAUUAUGGUGUAGAUACGCUCAAAGGUAAAUGGAAUCGUCUACGCACCCGACAACGACUUUUUGCUAUAUUGCUUGCUCAUAUUGGUGUGACAAUGGAUCCAAACACCAGUAAAGUGAAUGCUCCAGAGGAAGUGUGGGCAGAAUUUUAUAUGAAAAAUAAAAAGAGUACAAGGCAAUACGAAAGGAAGGCUGUGUCAUUUCCACAUUCUUAGUGAAGUUUUCGGUGGGACAACUACAACAGGUGAUAUGUACAGGGCUUCUACUUAAUUACCUCCCAUAUCUGAUGAAGAGAGAGAGCUCAAAGAAACAUUUAUUAAUAGAGGUGUUAACUCAUAUGUUGAAGUUGUUGAUGACGAGAAUGAGGAUGUUGGAGGGGAACCUAAUAAUCGACAACAUUGUGGUGCAGAAUCAUCUAAUAGUCGUUGACGUAAAGAGAUGAAACUUUCAAAAAUUGAAAGGUAUGAGCCUUGUAUGGAUAAGUGGAGUAAUACCAUACAAUAGCUGAGUGGAUAAUUUAUUGCUGGGCAAAAAUACCUAGAGUUGAUGGCUACUACAUUAGAACGUGAACAAGAUAUAAUCGUACUCUUCUAGAACUAGUGUGUUCAAUGAUCCUUACUUUAUAGACACGUCCAUGCAAAUUUUAAAUGGGACGGAUAAUUUAUCUACCCAAGUGUACACAAAAGCUACCGAAGCUUUCAUUAAGCCUGGCCCACGUGAAUUUUCAUGAAAAUUCUAUCAAAUAGGAGAGUUGAAUAGUUGGAUUGCCUCAAUCUUGAGCACAUGUAGGAUCAUACGUUGCCAAGUUUAUGGGGAUUGCUUUCAUUACCUAGCUGAAGACUAUUUAAUGUUAAUGGAGUUUUUUUUUUUAUUUCGUCGCUUGAAUAUUUAAUCCUUGUUUGAUAUUUUGGAAUGUAAUGUUGAAGACUAUGUUGAGCUUUUUAA